AGUGAGGACAGCAUACUUAAGCGGUGAGAGGUGGUGAGAGGUGAAGAUAUGUAGCAAAGGGCCCAAGCCGGAAUCUAACUUUGGCUGCUGCAAAACCAUUAUGUGUUCUUAAACAUCUGCCAGUGGUUGCACAUGACCUCAUCAACCUCAAGGAUAAAUAGAGGCAUCUCAGUAGCAGACAACCGUCGGAAGAGGAUAGAGCUCUGGAGGUCGUCCUACUCUACCUUCAAUGAGUACAAGCUUCACUUUCUGGACUUUUGUUGUAUACCUUGCUGUACCUGGCAAUACAGAAAUGAGUGUCAUCUUAGUGAAAAGUCUGCAAUACCUGAUAUUGUUCUCUUAUACAGCAGUAGCAUUUUCACAUAAAAUGCAAUCAAAAGAACAAAUCACCACUAUCCAUCUGUAUUCCCAUCCUGUUAAUAAUCAUUUUGGCUCAUCACUUAUAAAUGUAUUGAGUAAAAUGCAUAGGAGUACUAAUAAAGCAACAUACUGAAUUGUGUGAUCAGCUUUUCCACUAA